GGGGGGGCGUCUUACACAUGCAAGUCGAACGAUGGAACCACUUCGGUGGGGAUUAGUGGCGAACGGGUGAGUAACACGUGGGCAAUCUGCCCUUCACUCUGGGACAAGCCCUGGAAACGGGGUCUAAUACCGGAUAUCACUCCUGCAGGCAUCUGCGGGGGUCGAAAGCUCCGGCGGUGAAGGAUGAGCCCGCGGCCUAUCAGCUUGUUGGUGAGGUAAUGGCUCACCAAGGCGACGACGGGUAGCCGGCCUGAGAGGGCGACCGGCCACACUGGGACUGAGACACGGCCCAGACUCCUACGGGAGGCAGCAGUGGGGAAUAUUGCACAAUGGGCGAAAGCCUGAUGCAGCGACGCCGCGUGAGGGAUGACGGCCUUCGGGUUGUAAACCUCUUUCAGCAGGGAAGAAGCGAAAGUGACGGUACCUGCAGAAGAAGCGCCGGCUAACUACGUGCCAGCAGCCGCGGUAAUACGUAGGGCGCAAGCGUUGUCCGGAAUUAUUGGGCGUAAAGAGCUCGUAGGCGGCUUGUCACGUCGGGUGUGAAAGCCCGGGGCUUAACCCCGGGUCUGCAUUCGAUACGGGCAGGCUAGAGUGUGGUAGGGGAGAUCGGAAUUCCUGGUGUAGCGGUGAAAUGCGCAGAUAUCAGGAGGAACACCGGUGGCGAAGGCGGAUCUCUGGGCCAUUACUGACGCUGAGGAGCGAAAGCGUGGGGAGCGAACAGGAUUAGAUACCCUGGUAGUCCACGCCGUAAACGGUGGGAACUAGGUGUUGGCGACAUUC
rnacentral:rRNA from 1 species